UAGGGAAUCUUCCGCAAUGGGCGAAAGCCUGACGGAGCAACGCCGCGUGAGUGAUGAAGGUCUUCGGAUCGUAAAACUCUGUUAUUAGGGAAGUACAUACGUGUAAGUAACUAUGCACGUCUUGACGGUACCUAAUCAGAAAGCCACGGCUAACUACGUGCCAGCAGCCGCGGUAAUACGUAGGUGGCAAGCGUUAUCCGGAAUUAUUGGGCGUAAAGCGCGCGUAGGCGGUUUUUUAAGUCUGAUGUGAAAGCCCACGGCUCAACCGUGGAGGGUCAUUGGAAACUGGGAGACUUGAGUGCAGAAGAGGAGAGUGGAAUUCCAUGUGUAGCGGUGAAAUGCGUAGAUAUAUGGAGGAACACCAGUGGCGAAGGCGGCUCUCUGGACUGUAACUGACGCUGAGGCUCGAAAGCGUGGGGAGCAAACAGG
rnacentral:rRNA from 1 species